rnacentral:rRNA from 1 species
CAUAGCGUUAUGGACCCACCUGAUCCCAUGCCGAACUCAGAAGUGAAACGUAAUAGCGCCGAUGGUAGUGUGGGGUUUCCCCAUGUGAGAGUAGGA